rnacentral:rRNA from 1 species
GCAUAUCAAUAAGCGGAGGAAAAGAAACUAACAAGGAUUCCCCCAGUAACUGCGAGUGAAGUGGGAAAAGCUCAAAUUUAAAAUCUUGCAGGAUUACCUGCAUGAGUUGUAGUUUCAAGAGGCGUUUUCGGCGCGCGCCUGGGUAUAAGUCCUUUGGAAUAGGGCAUCAUAGAGGGUGAGAAUCCCGUUCAUGACCCGGAGCGGCGUGCUAUGUGUUACGUCUUCUAAGAGUCAGGUUGUUUGGGAUUGCAGCCUAAAAUGGGUGGUAAAUUUCAUCUAAAGCUAAAUAUAGGCGAGAGACCGAUAGCGAACAAGUACCGUGAGGGAAAGAUGAAAAGCACUUUGAAAAGAGAGUUAAACAGCACGUGAAAUUGUUGAAAGGGAAACGUUUGAAAUCAGUCAUGCGGUCGGGUAAUCAGCUUGGCCUUGUGCCUUGUGAACUUUCCCGUUCGCAGGUCAGCGUCGGUUUUGGCGGCCGGACAAAAGUCGUGGGAAUGUGGCCCCUCGGGGUGUUAUACCCCGCUUC